UACGUAGGGGGCUAGCGUUGUCCGGAAUCAUUGGGCGUAAAGCGCGUGUAGGCGGUCCUGUAAGUCCGCUGUGAAAGUCGAGGGCUCAACCCUCGAAUGCCGGUGGAUACUGUCGGGCUUGAGUACGGGAGAGGCGAGUGGAAUUCCUGGUGUAGCGGUGAAAUGCGCAGAUAUCAGGAGGAACACCGAUUGCGAAGGCAGCUCGCUGGAACGUUACUGACGCUGAGACGCGAAAGCGUGGGGAGCAAACAGG
rnacentral:rRNA from 1 species